CCUGCCCCGCCCCAUGCCCUCCCUAACAACACGUCCUGUUCCUCUCCCUUGUUUUCUCCAGGACAGUCUCUCUGUCACCAGAUAUGUUCCUGCCUCGGAGGCCCUGGCAUCUGUCAUUUCCUCUGCCUGGAACCCACCUUCUACCAGGUAACUACAUGACUCACUUUCUCACCUUCUUUAGGAGUAGGAAGGCCUGAGCCCGGGUCUGCAGGGUAUCUGGUGGGUGGGGGAACCUGGGGAGCCUGGCAUGCCACAGGAGCAUGACAGGGACUCUUCCAAAGAACCAACCAGUGACAGUCCAGGUUCAAAGUGAUAAGGUUUCCCUUGCGACAACACGGCUGUUGGUGGUGACUUUCAACUCCUCCCAAGUGACAGAGUCCUUGAGGCCCCACACCCAGGGUUUCUACCCUCUGGUUUGAGGGGUGGGGUAGAGAAGACUUCCCUAUUACAGAUGAGAAAGCUGAAGCUCAGAGGCAUCCCAUGCCCUGCCCAAGGUCACUCCACACACUACAAGUCCAAGACAAGGAACUUUGCUUCUGUAACAGACACAGUUUCUGGGGUGGUCUCUGAGCUUGAACUGAUGCCUGGUUGACUCUAAAGCUAAUUGGCCCCCAAACCUAGCUGACCUGUCACUCAUUUUGCAUCCCUCCCAGAGCCUGGCACGUUGCUAAGUGGGUGACACCUGGUGGGCACCAUGUGACUAUUGGGUCAAGCUAUCAGGCCACAGCAGGUUGUGCUAACAAGGAUGCCCUGCAUCCCCCUAGGCUCCUCCAACUCCCAGCCGGCAGGCCUGCACCUUUUCUCCCAGCCAGCAGGGGGCGCGCGCACAUUUUUCGAGUGGCCUUCUCACCAACCUCCCCAACCGCGGUUCCCCGUUCUCCCCUCCUGUGAUUGAGCCUGUGUUAGGCGUAUAGGGGCCCUACUCAAACCAGCCUGUUUAAUGUCAGGAGCCUUCAAAUUGUGCGGUCUUCCCCAGCAGGCAGCCCUCUGGCAAUGCAUGUGAUCUCAUAUGUACUGAGUGGUUCUACACCAGGCACGUGCUAGGCACCUGACAAGCAUUAUCUCAUUUCAUCAUCUGAGAUGCUAAAAUGAUCCAUUUCACAACGGAGAACACCAAGUCGCUGGCAGGAAUAUAGCACCUUGCAUAGAGUAUUCUCAAUAAAUAUUUGGUGGACAGAAUUGAAUGUGGAUGUUGAACCUGGCUGGGCAGGGGCGAGACAUACAGGAAGUGCACGGCCUGGAGCAGGCUUCUAACGUGAAGAGGGCCUUGGAAAUGGGGCUAAGGCUGCCUUGAGUCUGCAGCUUCUGCUCCUUACCUCCUCCAGCUUCCCUCCUGGCUUGCCCGGAAGUGAGACCGCCUCUCUCACAACCCUGCCACGGGGGCCACAAUGUCCUCGCACAAACCCUGUUCCAUCCCCUGCUGCCAGGGCCGCCCACACACUGGGCGGACAUGAGUCUGGCAGACGCUGGUGUGGCUGAGCUCUCCUGGAACAGGGUCAGAAGGGCCGUGGGGCUGGCAUGGAGGGGAGCUCUGUGGCCUGGUCAGCAGGCCCCAAAGCCAGGCGGGCCGCCAGGGCCCCCAAAUGCAGGCCUUCCCAAGCUGUAGACAUCUGCGGGGGCUGGUCUGGGAAGGGACAGGCUUUGUGCUUUUCCGUCAGUUGCAGCCCCUGUUUUACUUUGUGUGGGUAUGUGAGUUCUACUUCCAAAUCUUGGCUCCUCCUGGAGCUACAAAUUACACUCUAGCCUUCAUCCUGUAGCAGGGCUUCCAUGCCCCAGGGAAGUCAGGGACCACCCCGCUUGUGCAAGUGUGGCUGCCCACAAUUAGAAAAGGCUGUGUCUAGCAGGGUUUCACUCUGACCCGGGGAAGAAAAGGCCCGAGAAGAACAAAGGAGAACCGUUGUUACGGCCUCAGAGAAGUUCCAUCAGACACUUAUUAGCGCAGUGUUUGAGUUUUAUUGUCAUCGUCAUCUUUGUUGUCAUUCCAGCACCCGCCCACCUCUGAACGGCUCUAAAUUUGACUUUAUGACUAUCUGCCACAUUCUUUGGGUCACUCACCAAGAGUUAGUCAUGCAUUCACCUCAGAUUGUCCCAGCAGGAAAGUCUUUAAUCUUUAAGAGCCUGCUGUGUUCCAGGCACUGUUAGGGACUUUGCAAACUUUGUUUUAUUUAGUCAUCACAACAACCCGGUGAGGUUCAUCUGUCAGGAUGCUUUUGGCUGCAAGUAAGAGCAGCAACCUCAGGUCCAUUGGAUUGAACCCGUGGUCCCUCACUGAACAAUGAAGGAAUUGAGGAUCGCAGGAAAUAGUCCAGAAGUGGGUGGCUCCAAAGCAGGAUAAUCCAGCUGCUGAACUGAGCUACCAAGACCCAGGUUCUUGCCAUGUUUCCAUUCUAUCAUCUUUAGGGUGUUGGCUUGAUUCUCUGAGUCGUUGUCCUCAUCACAGCAAAAUGGCUGCUGUGGCCCCCGCCAUCACUUCAGACAUCACAUCCAGCUGCUGAAGGACAGUUGUUUCUCUCAUGUUUUAAGAGCAGGAGACUAUUUCCUAGAACAACUCUCUACACACACGCCAUAAACAACCCUCUCUGCAUCUCAUUGACCAGAACGGAGUCACAGAUCUAUCCCAGAAUGAAUCACCAGCAAGGGAAACUUAUCAAGAUAAGUUUACACUGAUCAGGAUUUCUCCCACCCCACUCCAGGCACAUGGACUUCUGGAAAAAUAAUUCAGAGCACUAAGGAAGAAAGCAGUAGUGACAAUUGGAUAGCAAUCAACAAAGUCUCCCACUGAGGAAAACAGAUCAAGAAGCCUGGAGGCUGGCAAGGGUCACACAGUCACUCGAAGCUGACUUAGAAUUCAAACCCAGGCCCGUCGGAUAAGGACUCUAGUAAGGCAACCCUGAAUUCUAAUUCCAGCCAUCACUUACCAGCUGUGUAUCCUGGCACAAGUUUCUUAACCUCUCUGAGCUUUGUUUCUUCAUCUAUAAAAUGGGGACAGUAACUGAACCUUGUUCAUUAGGUGUGGAUUAGAGGAGAGGCCGCAUUAAGACACUUAGCACAAUGCCAGAUGCAGAAGGGGUGUCCAAUGAAUGUUAGCUGUGCUUGUCAUCGUUGCAUCAGUAUUCCAAAGCCUGGGCUGUUAAGCAACUUCCCAGCCUGCUGUGGGGGAGGUGCCUUCUGGAGUCAAUGUGUGUUCCCUGGACGGACAGGAAAAGAGAUUUUACAUGACCAGUUCCAAUGUUCCUGGUAAAUAGUCUUCAAACGCACGCACGGCGGGAGGAGAGCCAGGCGCCGUGUCCUCUGGUUUCCAGCACUGCAGGCCCCUGCUCGGUCCUUCCUCUCUGGAGGUCUUGGGUCCUCAAGAUACUGAACAAACACACUGACUCUGAGAUGAUUCCUAAACGUUAGCAUCUACUGGGUGCUACUACAUUCCUCAGGGGACGGGCCCAGGAGGAAGCAGGCUUCCCACUGGAGAGUGGCUGGGGCAGCUCAGCGCUCACUCAGGGCAGCCUUCCUAGGAGCUCCUUCUGCCUCCUUUUCCCAUGAACCAGCCUGAAGAAGAGGGUAUUUCCGGGAAACCCCAGCUGCCUUUGCUUUGGAGAGCCACUUCCAUCAGCGAGGGGUCCUGCGAGUCCCGCUGCCCUCAGGCCUCAUGCAGGCGCUUUCUGGUUUUGUGUCCAGAUGUUUCUGAUACAUGUGUGCAUGCAGCUGUGUGUGUGUUUCUGUGGGCCCAAGUGGAGCAGCGCUGGCAUGGGCGGAGGGUUGGCAGCAACAUCUCCAGGACACCUUUUACCCAUUACAUUCCUCGCCUGGGCGGGGCGCCUUCCUGCUGGCUUAAAAACUGUCACCAGAAGCCCUGGAUGAAAAAUACAGCUUCUGAUUCAUGCGCACAGUCGGGAAGCAUCCCUUGCUCAGUACAGAAACUUGUCGGUCAACCUGGGGAAGGAAUCACCACCACGAAAUGUGCUUUGGCUUGCCAAAGCUCAGGAGCUUCCAGAGCCAAAACCCCAGCUGCCUGGAUUGUCUGGAGAAGGUGGGGGCUGGGGCGAGGGUGGGAGGAGGGGUGGGGAGAAAGCAGGGCUCUCUGAAUCACCUGAUUUCUACCCCCCAAUUCCGUCCUGUUUAAUUCCAAGCUAAACCCACCUCCAAAUAUCUAAUGGGCCAAUUGAUCCUAAAAACCGCGUUGAGCACUACCCCUUCCAGCUCUGUGCCUGCUGGCAAGGUGAAGCAGAUGGCUUCUAUCGAUAAAUGUAUUUACUUGGAAGGGGCUGCUUGAAGUCAGGAAAUGCCAGGGAGACGAGUGUGCGUGGCUCUGGCCAGAAUUGCCGUGAAUAUCAUAAGCAGACACCCAGACAGUGUCAGGUUGAAAGAAAUCGCAGCUAAGCCCCAGGAACCUGGGGCAUUUUCCAUCCUUCUCCCGUCUGGCCUCCUUGUCAGCCGUACACUUAUGAAGAAAUACCUCAUUUGGUUCAACAUUCUGUGGUAUUCAAAGGUUUGUAUGAGCCAUGGAGGGCCCGCUUUCUCAAAAGGGGUUCAUAAACCAAACAGGCCUGUCACUUGGACCUCAUCCUGAGGCCCUCAUUAUCUAGACAGACCCAAACAGAAACUCCCACUGCCUUGGAGCCCAGCACAUAAAAUCCUCUUUAAUAAACACACACCAUUUUUUUUUUCCAGUGGAACGGCCUCAAGGUGUUAAAAGUACAUAAAGGUCUGAAAGCUGAAACCCUAGAUAAACAGUGUGCCGAAAUAUAUUUAGCAGAAAAUAUUGAAAGCCACAGGAAAAGUAUGUUCUCUUCCUGGGAUGUUAACAAAGGUUUAGGUUCAGGAAACCUUCAGGAAAUAGCGCGUUGGGUUGAGGAGGACUACUGCUCAAUGUAAAUAAAUCACUAAACCUCUUUGGCCUCCGUAA